rnacentral:rRNA from 1 species
GAUGAACGCUGGCGGCGUGCUUAACACAUGCAAGUCGAGCGGUCAGGCCUCUUCGGGGGUACUCGGACGGUGGAGGCGUGAGUAACACGUGGGUGAGCUGCACUCAGCUCUGGGAUAGGCCUGGCUACCUGGGUCCAGUACCGGAUCUGGCCUUUCUAUGCAUGGGGAUUGGUGGAUAGUUUUGUCGGCUGGGGCUGGGACCGCGGCCUAUCAGCUCGUGGGUGGGGUGAUGGCAUACCAAGGCGACGACCGGUAGCCGGGCUGAGAGGGCGACCGGCCACACUGGGACUGAGGCACGGCCAGGACACCUACGGCAGGCAGCGGAGGGGAAUAUUGCCCAAUGCGCGGAAGCCUGACGCAGCGACGCCGCGUGAGGGAUUGCGGCCAGCGGAUUGCAAACCUCUUUCGACCCCGACGAGUUUGGACGGUAGCGGAAGAAGAAGCACCGGCCAACUACGUG